CCUACCAGGAGUGGAUAGAAUUUGGUGGUAAAUUGGUAUACCACCAAAAGCCGUCUCAGGUAGAGACAUGGAAAACAUUCUAAGUUUUAAGAAGUCAUUGUCAGCUGCUUCUCUAUAUUGACAAUUGAACCUAACUAAAUAUUCCUCAGCAGGAACUCUGUUAUUUCUUGAGAACAAGGUAAAGUCAUGUAUCUUAAACGUUCUAGAAAAUGAAUUGGCUCUAUCAAUCCAUUCAGGGUAAGGUUUUUGGCCUAUUUGUCUCUGAUUUCUCCUAGAAUUAUCCCCUACUAGUCUUUGGACUAGUGCCUCAACUUGUGCCGCCAAUGGAUCCUAAUGCCUUCCUGGGUAUCCCAUAUUCCCAUUCCUCACGCCUCCUGCUUGAUCGUAUGCGGGAUUAAGGUUAGGAUGGAAAGGUUGAUUUUGAUAACCUCCCAUAGGGAUCUCCUAGCGUUGCAUAAAAUUAGGAUUGGCUGCUCCUUGUGCCCUUUUAGUUGGGAAUGUAUGUCCAUUUGUAGGCAUCCCCUGCUGAUAAGCACCAAUUGCUUGAGUAAAUGGAGCUUGGGGCUAACCAUACCUCGAAAUAUUACCAUAAUGAGGCAUAUUAGCCAUAGUUGCUUGGUUAUGGGAAUAUAAGCAUAUGGUGAAGAAGGAAUUCCAACCAUAUUUGGUUGGUUAAGAGGCACAUAUACAUGUAGUGAUCUAUUGUUGUUUGCAACAAAAGUACUUAUGGGAAUAUAAGCAUAUGGUGAAGAAGGAAUUCCAACCAUAUUUGGUUGGUUAAGAGGCACAUAUACAUGUAGUGAUCUAUUGUUGUUUGCAACAAAAGUACCUUGCCUCUGUUCUCCUUGUGAUGGUCCAGAUUGGUGUGUGUGUUAUCACCAACUUGUCCACCACCCAUGAAAAACGAAGGUUGAUGAUGUCCUUGACGCCUGGUGUCAGCCUGGCGCAACGCCUACUGCCAUUCCAUCACUUCUCCUAAGGUUUCCACGAUUAACCUCUCUAAGGCUCAAGGGUAUUGCCUUUGUUGGAUGCUCAUUGGAGGAAGUUUGUGGAUCAUUUGAGAUAAGUGGAUCUCUAGUUUCAAGAUGAGAGAUAUGUCCCCUUGGAGGGUAGCCUAUUGGAGAAAUAUCUGGCGUUAUGCCACAACUUCCCCUUGCUCUAUUUAGAGGGACCUCUUCUAAGGCCUUAACUAAUUUCUCCUUUAACUGAUAGUGUUUUUUAACUAGUGGUUCUAAGCAAGUAACUACUUCAGUGGCGAGAGACUUAGACAUUACCAUGAAAGUUGCACACAUAGUAUCAUUGAUAUCUAUGAGUAUUUUAUGAAUUUGCCUACUAUUCUCCUCAUUUAUCCUUUGGAGGAUGUCUGUGAAGACUCUCGCAGACUCAUGGGCUAGAGUUUUGUAGUUAGAAUCAAAUUAUUGUCUCUGACUCUCUCUGGCUUCUAACAAUAAAUGCUUUACUAUUUUCGUGAACUUUCCAUACAUUUGAUGUAUAAGUCCACUACCAGUACUACCUGGAGAUGAGCCUUUCCUUUGUGGGGUACCUCCACUCGACUCUUCAUGAUCAUGGUGAAUUUGUUCACCAUUAUUACCUUGUACCCUAGUCUCUGGAGGGAUUGAAGAACUAGUUUCCAUGUUUUGGAAACUUGAUUCACCCUGAGAAACUUCUUUAUUCUUUCUAUAACGUGUUUCCGACAUUUUUAAUGAAAAUGACAAUAAUUGUUUUAUUUUUUUUUUUUACAGUUGAAUUGUAAAAAGUAUGAAUUGAAGAAGAAAUUUCACAAUUUGAUUAUGAAUCUUCUCCGCCCACUAUGGUCGCCAAAAAACUUGUUGAUACAAAAUCAGUUUGUUGACCUUGCAAACAAGUCAAUGCACAUCCAAUAGUUUGAUACUGAAUGCCACGGGAGGCUUAGUCCCUGGGGGUACCGAUUUUAAUUAGAUAAGACCUUGCUAACGUACUUUGUUGCAAAUUAAAUAAACUACAAUGCCUAUUAAAUUCAAGCAAAAUGCAAUAAGUAGAGCAAGCAAUAAUUAAUCUUUUAAUUAAGGCAAAACAUUCUCAUACAUACCAAAAACUUUAAGAAAGAUUUUACAGCACAUGAGAGGAUAAGUCAGGCUGGACAACUAAAGGGAGAGCACGAAAACUGUUACCUCCAUGGUUUAUUGCUUCAAUCGAAGAAUUAUUGAACUUGGUGCCAGAACAUGCUCUAAUCUAAGGGACAAAACUAUAACCCCAUAAGGGGAUUUGCUAGACUAAGGCUAGGCUACGCUAAGAAGAGAGUAAAUGCAAGUUGUUGCGUGUUGUUUGUCCGUUGUCCUUUGCUUGAUGAUCAUUCUUCUAUUUAUAGGAAAACGUGUUAUGUAACUUCCAUGCUUUCUUGGAGGGAAAACAUUGGAAUCAUUUUUUAUUCGAAUCUCAAACGUCUUCUGGCACUAAAUAACUGUAGCCUUGCACGUUCUUCCUUAUGUGUACCCGUCUCAUGAUUGUUCUUUUACCACCUGUACUUUUUCUAUUCUUGACUUCCAUCUCUUGAUGGUCUUGAUGGUCUUCUUCUGUUGACUUUGACUUAUGUUGACUUCAUCCAAUGGGCUUUAUUCUCUAGUUGGGCCUUCAUAUUAAGGCAAAAUUGAACCUUUUGAGUCUAAUACAAUGUACCAUAAUAAAUGUUAUUUUGAACCUUUUGAAUCUAAUACAAUGUACCAUAAUAAAUGUUAUUGUGCAUCUAAAAAUGGUGGUAACACCUCCUCCCCUUCAUCGUUGUAGCAAGAGCUUGAUCGAGGGAGAUGAAGGAUUGGACAAAGUAGAUUCCAAAGAAGCCCAAAAGGUAGAUGAUAUAGUAGAAAAAGCACGAUUUGCGUCGUCCCAUUUGCGUCGCACUGAAACGGAAACGACGCAAUAACGAAAUUUGCGUCUCAUGCAAGGAGGAGUGCGACGCACAACAUGGGUACGUGAGCACCAGUACGAGCUAUUUGCGUCGCACGUGCCUCUGGUGCGUUGCAAAAGCUUAAUGUGCGUCGGAUCCUGAGGCCUAUCCGACGCACAUCGUUGAAAAAUUUUGAAACUAUUGAGGCCCUAUCUGCGUCGCACAUUGAUAAAGUGCGUUGCUAAUUACUGAUUUGCGUCGGACCCUAAGCCCAUCCGACGCACAUCAGUUGGGCCAUCCGUAUUUUCGAGCCCUAACAUAAUUUAUUUACCCUCUCCCUCUUAACCUAAAACUCCAGCCUCUUAACCUAAAACUCCAGCCUCUUAACGCCGCUUCUUCUUCCUCCCUUUCUCUCUCUGCAUCUCUCUGCCUCUCUCUCUCCUUCACUCGUCGACAUUCACUCUUUCGAAACUCUCUGUUCGUUCCCUCUUUCUCUUUCCGAGUGAAAAGAAACCUAAUCUCACUCCUCAAUUUCACUCUUUCGAAAAAAACCCUUAACCGCAAAAUUUUCGAGCCCUAACAUGAUUUGGUGAUUUGAAGAUCUGACGAAAUAAGCAGUAAAUCUUCAUAAAGCGUUCGUAGAGCCGCAAAAUUUUCAAAAGGAUAUUGAAGAUUUGAAGGAAAAAGCGAGAUAAAGGUUUUAGCAAGGUAAAUAUGAGUCCUUUGACCCUCUCAUCUCUCUCUCUCUCUGUUCUUUUUCCGGACCCUCUCGAUCCUUCGACCAUGGCGAAGCAACACGCUCCAUCGUCGGUCAACAGGAAACGCGCUGACAUCCAUGGCGCAGCAAAAUACGAAUGCAAUAUCGUAUUGUGCUCGAGUAUGAGUCAGUAGCAGCAAUCGAUAGCCAAACAGGAAGAAGACACCAGUUUUUUGAUUUCAGCAAUUUUCAUAUUGUCUGUAAUUAUUUUUUUUUUGAUUUUCUGUAAUUUUCUCUUUUUAUUUUCUGUAAAUCCUGUAUUUUUUUACUUUUUUUCUUGUAAACAGAUGAUUUGAUUCAUUUGCAAUAGAACUUCUGUUUUGGACACAAUGCA